GGAUGAACUGAGGGUAGCGGAGAAAUUCCAAUCGAACCUGGAGAUAGCUGGUUCUCUCCGAAAUAGCUUUAGGGCUAGCCUCAAGUGAUGAUUAUUGGAGGUAGAGCACUGUUUGGACGAGGGGCCCCUCUCGGGUUACCGAAUUCAGACAAACUCCGAAUGCCAAUUAAUUUAACUUGGGAGUCAGAACAUGGGUGAUAAGGUCCGUGUUCGAAAGGGAAACAGCCCAGACCACCAGCUAAGGUCCCAAAAUAUAUGUUAAGUGGAAAAGGAUGUGGCGUUGCCCAGACAACUAGGAUGUUGGCUUAGAAGCAGCCAUCAUUUAAAGAGUGCGUAAUAGCUCACUAGUCGAGUGACACUGCGCCGAAAAUGUACCGGGGCUAAACAUAUUACCGAAGCUGUGGAUUGUCCUUUGGACAAUGGUAGGAGAGCGUUCUAAGGGCGUUGAAGCAUGAUCGUAAGGACAUGUGGAGCGCUUAGAAGUGAGAAUGCCGGUGUGAGUAGCGAAAGACGGGUGAGAAUCCCGUCCACCGAUUGACUAAGGUUUCCAGAGGAAGGCUCGUCCGCUCUGGGUUAGUCGGGUCCUAAGCUGAGGCCGACAGGCGUAGGCGAUGGAUAACAGGUUGAUAUUCCUGUACCACCUAUAAUCGUUUUAAUCGAUGGGGGGACGCAGUAGGAUAGGCGAAGCGUGCGAUUGGAUUGCACGUCUAAGCAGUAAGGCUGAGUAUUAGGCAAAUCCGGUACUCGUUAAGGCUGAGC
rnacentral:rRNA from 1 species